CCUACGGGAGGCAGCAGUGGGGAAUUUUGGACAAUGGACGCAAGUCUGAUCCAGCCAUGCCGCGUGCGGGAAGAAGGCCUUCGGGUUGUAAACCGCUUUUGUCAGGGAAGAAAAGGUUCUGGUUAAUACCUGGGACUCAUGACGGUACCUGAAGAAUAAGCACCGGCUAACUACGUGCCAGCAGCCGCGGUAAUACGUAGGGUGCAAGCGUUAAUCGGAAUUACUGGGCGUAAAGCGUGCGCAGGCGGUUAUGCAAGACAGAGGUGAAAUCCCCGGGCUCAACCUGGGAACUGCCUUUGUGACUGCAUAGCUAGAGUACGGUAGAGGGGGAUGGAAUUCCGCGUGUAGCAGUGAAAUGCGUAGAUAUGCGGAGGAACACCGAUGGCGAAGGCAAUCCCCUGGACCUGUACUGACGCUCAUGCACGAAAGCGUGGGGAGCAAACAGGAUUAGAUACCCUGGUAGUCCACGCCCUAAACGAUGUCAACUGGUUGUUGGGAGGGUUUCUUCUCAGUAACGUAGCUAACGCGUGAAGUUGACCGCCUGGGGAGUACGGCCGCAAGGUUGAAACGUUAAGAGUAGUGCGNGNGAGACGCGACGACGACGACGAGGAGGAGG
rnacentral:rRNA from 1 species